GGCUUGUCCAAAGGUAGUGAGUUAUCUCAAUAGAUGGUUUACAGUCAGUUACAGAUUGAACUCCUGGAUCUACUCUUUCCCACUUCUCACUACUGUACUUGACUAGUCUUAU
ensembl:misc_RNA Y_RNA Y RNA